CCGCGGGGGCUGAGGGGAGGCGCCGCUCUGGGACGGAGAGGGCCGGGGGGCCAGGGCCGGGGCCGGGCCCAGGCCGCGCCACGGGCAGUCAGACCCAGGCGGCGAAGCGAUGAGACUCGGCCCCUCUCACCUCCCGCCGGAGCGAAGGGGGAGCCCGGGCGUCCCCCUCUGCGCCUCGACCCAGAGUUCCCCGGUGACCCAUUAACAACAGAUUUUUAUGGAAAAGAAGCAUGGUUAAACUGGUGAAAAUAACUGUGCACAAGUCAUAAUAGCACUCCAGUUUUCAGAAGAGCUUGGCAGACUUGGCCUGGCAGGCGACCUGAACUCUGCACACCUGGCUAGCCAUAAGGAGCUGCCUGCUUCUAUCUGGGCUUCUGAGGAGAGCUGUUCUUAUGCAACAGAAACCAGGCCGGACUGAGAAACACAGAGCAGACAGUUUGUUCUCAUGGUUUCAGAUCAGCCCCUCCAAACCGACACAAACUCAGCAGAUGGCAUGGCUUGCAGUUGGUCCCAGUAUGGGAUCCAUCAGAAGCAGUUUGUCUGUUAAAGCCAGGUGACCUGCAAAGGAAAAGAAAAUGGUGUUUGUGUCCUUUGUUGUUGCUUUAUGAUGGAUAAAGAAGGCCAGGGAGAUUUUUUAAAAUUCUUUCUUGUUUUCCAUGUUAAAAAUAUCUGGAAUAUCGACUCCUGUCUUUCCUGGUUUUGCUGGAGGGCUCCACAGCUGAGCAGAGGAUGGGAACUCCUGGGAGCAGUCUCUGCUCACAGUUUAGGUCAAGGUGUUAGAGCGUCUCUCCCCAGUGUUUGUCAGGAGAUGUGUAAGGGCUCAGCUACACUGUAGAAUAGCACUGGGUUAAUUAACAGUGUGAUUUUCAACUGAUUCAGUCAAACCAGUGCCAAAGGCAGGGUGGACACAUUUAUUUCAGUUUAAACCACUAAUUUUGGUUUUGCUUAAGUUGAUUAGAAACAUGUUUAAGCUAAACCAAAAUAAGCUAUUCUGAAACAAAACUAAGUGGGUGCAAACCCUUGUGUGAACAAGUUUAUCUAAACCAAUUUAACUAAAUUGAUGCAAAUUUGUGUUUAGAGAGUCCCAUAAGAAGUCUGAACCAACCAGACAAGCACUGGUGACUCUGUCUAAAAAUCCCCUCCCCUCUCAUUUGUUCAGAUUUUGGUCUCUUGUAGCUUGUCAUAUCUUUGUCAUCCAGAAAAUCCUCUUGUGCAAACAGCAUAGAUCACAACUGAGGUUUCAAAUUUAAAAACCAAACUAUUAAUUUUUUUUUAAAUAACCCACACAAAUUCCAGACCGCCUUUGUAUGUCUCUAAGGAGACCUUUACCCACCACACUAUUGUUUUUCCCUUUGUAGCACCUUUAAGAGAGUUAGAGAUGGUUUCAGAGUAACAGGCGUGUUAGUCUGUAUUCGCAAAAAGAAAAGGAGUACUUGUGGCACCUUAGAGACGAACCAGUUUAUUUGAGCAUAAGCUUUCGUGAGCUACAGCUCACUUCAUCGGAUGCAGUUUGUUUCCCUUCCUAGUGAAUAACGUCAUCCCUUGUUCUGUAGGAUAAUAUAAUGCCACCAUUUGUCAGCAUUUCAAUUAGGAGCCCUUCUUUUCCAGGGCUGAGUUCUAGCCCUCCUGAUUUCUUCUAGUUUAUCGCCUUUGGGGCUGUAAACAGAGCUCAGAUUUGCCUGCACUGAUAAAUCUGGCAAAGAAAUUAGCUUUUUGCAUAUUUGCAAACAACAUUUAAUAUUUUUAUCCUCAGCUCAAUUUCUUUUUUCAUUUUUCAUGCGGCAGGUUUGUAUUGUCAUUUUAUUACCAAACCAAAAAAAAUAUGGUUUUCAUGGUGAAAAUGGCCACAAAUUCUCUCCUGGCACAUUGUCAUUAGUUUUCUCCUAAGCCAAGGAAAGCUGGUUGCCAUGUAAAGGGUGAAAAGCCAUGUUCAUGUGGCAACAGUCCCAUUGUGGAGCUAACUGACAGCAGAAAAGAUUGAGCUUGUCUAUAAAUAUCCACAAGAGGGAGCUUGGCAGUUUUGGUUACUUCUAGAAUUCUGGAAAUUCUGGAUGGAAAAGACCAAUUAGUUUGUGCCCUGGGAAUGAUGUUGGAUUGUUCCAUACAACUUAUUUCCCAGUGGCUUGUCCAGUUCAGAUUUAAGUGUCUCAAGUGUUGGGGCUUCUAACACUUUUUUGGGAGACCAUUGCAGAGUCUAACAGACCUCACUACUAGAGAUUUUUUUUCUGAUGUUCUUCCUACAUGUUCCUUGUUUAAUUUAAGCCCAUUACUCAAUUUGUCUCUAAUGCACCCAUUGGCAUAAAAUCCUACCUACUGUACAUUCUCUCUUAUAUAGGAGUGCGGACUAGGUGAUCACAGUGGUCCUUUCUGGCCUUAAAAUCUAUUCGUUUAUGAACUUCCACUGUCCCAAUUUAUGGUGACUCUUCUAUGUAGUGUCUGUAUUUGUGACAGCACAGAGCUGGGCCUGUGUGCCAGGAGUGGACCAGGAGAUUGGAGAGUGUCUCAGAAUUGAGUGCACCCACUUAGAAUUUAUUUGGCCUACUGAGCUGAUGUCUGAAAAGAGAUGAGUGGUGUUGUGAUAUUACUGUGAGGAUCUUACAAGCCACUGUUCACGAGCCCUGUGGCAAAGAGUGAGGGGAAUGAAGUGUGGGAGCCUAAUGCUACCAUGCCGUAACUGGUACUACAAGAACAUAGCGCUUGACUGCUUAUGGCUUGACUCCUUAUUGCCAGGGCAAACAGGCCUCCUCCUCUACAGCCAGCUAGUUCUAAUCAUCUGGGCCAGGCCCAAGCUAUGCCUGUAAUACAUUCCAAAUCCAGUACUAAAAGGAAACACACAAGCCUAUGGAUCUGUGUACCCAGAGUCGUAUUUAAAAGCAAUAAAUAAUGAAUAAAACCAGAAUUAAGAGUAAAUCAGAUAUAAAUCCCAUGAAUGUAUAAGCAGAAACUGCCUGGGCUUGACUGGUACACACAGAGGGAAACACAAGCUGUGUCUGCCUGGAGCUACAGAGAAACAAAUCUGCAACCAAAGAAUACAACCACCUCUCUUCAUCCUGAGCCAGCCAAGUGCUGGACACAUCCUUGCCACACUUGGUUGCCCCUCUCAACUCUGGCCCCCUAACUAGUGCAGUUCCAGUGCCUCUUUGGGAAACACAGACUGGACCACAGCCACAGGCUUUCUGCUGGACCUCUGGAGGGGUGCACUACUAUGCAUAUGCCAUCAUAUCACCACUGAUGUGUCUUGGAGCACACAGUCCGCUAAUAACAUUGACUCUAUAAAGUGGGGGAGAGGAGGCUCUGCAGCCAGAGAGCUCUCUCUAUAUAUACUAUGCAUAUGAUGUUUUAGUUUGUGAAUGGCUGUCUCCUCUGAAAUUAAUGAAGAUUAAUUCCUGGCCACUUUUAGACCCUUGUUCCAGAUCCUGGAUGAGCCAGGAGUUAAAUCUCACUCUUCUGUACUUGGUGUCAUCUUGGGUUUUGGCAGAAAAAUGUCUGAACUGGCCACCACCAAUCCAGGAGCCUAAUUACUCCUUUUACCAGUGGUUCCCAAAGUGGGGUCCCCGAACCUCUGGGAGUCUGCCGUGCGUUAUAUGGGAGUCCAUCCCUAGAUCCAGAAUGCUGAAGUGGGUACUUCUGCUGCAUGGAGGAUGCCAUUUUGUUCUCAGAGGAGUAUCCUUUGGACAGCGUGACCUCAGACGCACAGUGCGUGAGAAGUCAGACUGACAAAGGUGAUCUCACGUUGAUACA